rnacentral:rRNA from 1 species
AGAUUGAACGUUGGCGGCACGCCUUAAACAUGCAAGUCGAACGAGAAAGCUCUUUCGGGAGCGAGUAAAGUGGCGGACGGGUGAGGAACGCGUAGGAAUCUGCCUAGUAGUGGGGGAUAACUCGGGGAAACUCGAGCUAAUACCGCAUACACUCUGAGGAGAAAAGCGGGGGACCUUUAGGCCUCGCGCUAUUAGAGGAGCCUGCGUUAGAUUAGUUUGUUGGUGAGGUAAUGGCUCACCAAGACUACGAUCUAUAGCUGGUCUGAGAGGACGAUCAGCCACACUGGAACUGAGACACGGUCCAGACUUCUACGGAAGGCAGCAGUUAGGAAUAUUGCGCAAUGGGCGAAAGCCUGACGCAGCGAUGCCGCGUGUGUGAAGAAGGCUCUAGGGUUGUAAAGCACUUUCAGUCGUGAAGAAAUUUAUUUUGUUAAUACCGAAAUGAUUUGACGUUAACGACAGAAGAAGUACCGGCUAACUCCGUGCCAGCAGCCGCGGUAAUACGGAGGGUACGAACGUUAAUCGGAAUUACUGGGCGUAAAGCGCGCGUAGGCGGUUUGGUAAGUGGGAUGUGAAAGCCCCGGGCUCAACCUGGGAACUGCAUUCCAAACUGGCAAACUAGAGUGUGGUAGAGGGAAGUAGAAUUUGAUGUGUAGCGGUGAAAUGCGUAGAUAUAUCAAGGAAUACCAAUGGCGAAGGCAGCUUCCUGGACUAACACUGACGCUGAGGUGCGAAAGCGUGGGGAGCAAACAGGAUUAGAUACCCUGGUAGUCCACGCCGUAAACGAUGAGAACUAGCCGUUGGGAGGUUCGCCUCUUAGUGGCGCAGCUAACGCAAUAAGUUCUCCGCCUGGGGA